rnacentral:rRNA from 1 species
UCCAGACUCCUACGGGAGGCAGCAGUGGGGGAUAUUGCACAAUGGGGGGAACCCUAAUGCAGCGACGCCGCGUGAGUGAGGAAGUAUUUCGGUAUGUAAAGCUCUAUCAGCAGGGAAGAAAAUGACGGUACCUGACUAAGAAGCCCCGGCUAACUACGUGCCAGCAGCCGCGGUAAUACGUAGGGGGCAAGCGUUAUCCGGAUUUACUGGGUGUAAAGGGAGCGUAGACGGCUAAUCAAGUCAGAAGUGAAAACCUAGGGCUCAACCUUGGGACUGCUUUUGAAACUGAGUAGCUAGAGUGCAGGAGAGGUAAGCGGAAUUCCUAGUGUAGCGGUGAAAUGCGUAGAUAUUAGGAGGAACAUCAGUGGGGAAGGCGGCUUACUGGACUGUAACUGACGUUGAGGCUCGAAGGCGUGGGGAGCAAACAGGAUUAGAUACCCGAGUAA